rnacentral:rRNA from 1 species
GUCCACGCCGUAAACUAUGGGUGCUAGCCGUCAGCGAGCUUGCUCGUUGGUGGCGCAGCUAACGCAUUAAGCACCCCGCCUGGGGAGUACGGUCGCAAGAUUAAAACUUAAAGGAAUUGACGGGGGCCCGCACAAGCGGUGGAGCAUGUGGUUUAAUUCGAAGCAACGCGCAGAACCUUACCUACCCUUGACAUCCCGGUCGCGGACACCAGAGAUGGAGUCCUUCAGUUCGGCUGGACCGGUGACAGGUGCUGCAUGGCUGUCGU